GACGAACGCUGGCGGCGUGCUUAACACAUGCAAGUCGAACGGAAAGGCCCCUUUGGGGGUACUCGAGUGGCGAACGGGUGAGUAACACGUGAGCAACCUGCCCUUGACUUCGGGAUAACUUCAGGAAACUGGGGCUAAUACCGGAUAGGAAUCCUUGCUGCAUGGUGGGGGUUGGAAAGCUUCGGCGGUUUUGGAUGGACUCGCGGCUUAUCAGCUUGUUGGUGGGGUAGUGGCUUACCAAGGCUUUGACGGGUAGCCGGCCUGAGAGGGCGACCGGCCACAUUGGGACUGAGAUACGGCCCAGACUCCUACGGGAGGCAGCAGUGGGGAAGAUUGCACAAUGGGCGGAAGCCUGAUGCAGCAACGCCGCGUGCGGGAUGACGGCCUUCGGGUUGUAAACCGCUUUCAGCAGGGGCGAAGCUUGUGGUGACGGUACCUGCAGAAGAAGCACCGGCUAACUACGUG
rnacentral:rRNA from 1 species